rnacentral:rRNA from 1 species
CACCGCCUGUCACACCAUGGGAGUUUGUUGCACCAGAAGCAGGUAGCUUAACCGCAAGGGGGGCGCUUGCCACGGUGUGGCCGAUGACUGGGGUG